GAUGGGACACCACUUUUCUGUGUGUGCUGUUGUUGACCUUGUUGGAUACACUCCUCUACUGUGGACAUGCUCAAGAUAGACCCAAGGCCACACUGACAUCAGGACCAACAACCAUACCAGUAGGAGGCAGAGUGACACUGACCUGCUCUGUGGAGCCCUCUGCCUGAUGGAAAUAUGAGUGGUGGUUCAGACGUAGCACAGACACCUCUGAAGUUCAAGUCAAAACAAAUGAUGAAGAAAACAGAGUUAUCAAUGUAUCAAAA